CUAAGCAUAUCAAUAAGCGGAGGAAAAGAAACCAACAGGGAUUGCCCUAGUAACGGCGAGUGAAGCGGCAACAGCUCAAAUUUGAAAUCUGGCUCUUUCAGAGUCCGAGUUGUAAUUUGCAGAGGGCGCUUUGGCUUUGGCAGCGGUCCAAGUUCCUUGGAACAGGACGUCACAGAGGGUGAGAAUCCCGUACGUGGUCGCUAGCUAUUGCCGUGUAAAGCCCCUUCGACGAGUCGAGUUGUUUGGGAAUGCAGCUCUAAAUGGGAGGUAAAUUUCUUCUAAAGCUAAAUAUUGGCCAGAGACCGAUAGCGCACAAGUAGAGUGAUCGAAAGAUGAAAAGCACUUUGGAAAGAGAGUCAAACAGCACGUGAAAUUGUUGAAAGGGAAGCGCUUGCAGCCAGACUUGCUUGCAGUUGCUCAUCCGGGCUUUUGCCCGGUGCACUCUUCUGCAGGCAGGCCAGCAUCAGUUUGGGCGGUGGGAUAAAGGUCUCUGACACGUUCCUUCCUUCGGGUUGGCCAUAUAGGGGAGACGUCAUACCACCAGCCUGGACUGAGGUCCGCGCAUCUGCUAGGAUGCUGGCGUAAUGGCUGUAAGCGGCCCGUCUUGAAACACGGACCAAGGAGUCUAACAUCUAUGCGAGUGUUUGGGUGUCAAGCCCGAGCGCGUAAUGAAAGUGAACGGAGGUGGGAACCCGCAAGGGUGCACCAUCGACCGAUCCUGAAGUUUACGGAAGGAUUUGAGUAAGAGCAUGGCUGUUGGGACCCGAAAGAUGGUGAACUAUGCUUGAAUAGGGUGAAGCCAGAGGAAACUCUGGUGGAGGCUCGCAGCGGUUCUGACGUGCAAAUCGAUCGUCAAAUUUGGGCAUAGGGGCGAAAGACUAAUCGAACUAUCUAGUAGCUGGUUCCUGCCGA
rnacentral:rRNA from 1 species